rnacentral:rRNA from 1 species
GGCUAACGCUGGCGGCGUGUCUUAGCCAUGCAAGUCGAGCGGACUUAUGGGGUAACUUAUAAGUCAGCGGCGGACGGCGGAGUAACACGUAGCUAACCUACCCUCUGGACGGGGAUAACCUACCGAAAGGUGGGCUAAUACCCGAUGUAGUCAUCCUGUAUAGGGGUGAUGAAAGGUGGGCUUCUGUUUACAAGCUCAUGCUGGAGGAGGGGGCUGCGGCCUAUCAGGUAGUUGGUAGGGUAAUAGCCUACCAAGCCGAUGACGGGUAGCCGGCCUGAGAGGGUGACCGGCCCGAGGGGCACUGAGAUACGGGUCCCACUCCUACGGGAGGCAGCAGGCUAGAAAUUUGGGCAAUGGGGGAAACCCUGACCCAGUGACGCCGCGUGCAGGAAGGAGCCCGUUCGGGGUAGUAAACUGCUGUCGUGUAGGGAGAAGGGUACUAAGGUGAACAAUCUUAGUACUUGACGGUACUACAGGAGGAAGCCCAGGCUAACCUCGUGCCAGCAGCCGACGGUAAAAAUAGCGUACU